rnacentral:rRNA from 1 species
CCCUUAGAUGUUCUGGGCCGCACGCGCGCUACACUGAUGGAUUCAACGAGUGUUGUUCUUCGGAGCAGAUCCUUGGUCGGAAGGCCUGGGCAAUCUUGUAAAUGUCCAUCGUGAUGGGGCUAGAUUUUUGCAAUUCUGAAUCUCCAACGAGGAAUUCCUAGUAAAGGCGAGUCAUCAUCUCGCUUUGAUUACCUCCCUGCCCUUUGUGCACACCGCCCGUCGCUACUACCGAUUGAAUGGUUUAGUGAGAUCUCCGGAUUGGCUUCCUUGGUACCUUCGCGGGUCCAACGUGAAGCCGAGAAGCUGCUCAAACUUGAUCAUUUAGAGGAAGUAAAAGUCGUAACA